rnacentral:rRNA from 1 species
UACGGGGGGGGUAAGCGUUGUUCGGAAUUACUGGGCGUAAAGGGCUCGUAGGUGGCCAACUAAGUCAGACGUGAAAUCCCUCAGCUUAACUGGGGAACUGCGUCUGAUACUGGAUGGCUUGAGUUUGGGAGAGGGAUGCGGAAUUCCAGGUGUUGCGGUGAAAUGCGUAGAUAUCCGGAGGAACACCAGCGGCGAAGGCGGCAUCCUGGACUGGUCCUGACACUCAGGAGCGAAAGCGUGGGGAGCGAUCCGG